rnacentral:lncRNA from 1 species
AAGAGAUAAAUAUAAUAGUGAUACAUUGCAGACUUGAAUGUCAUCAUUAUUCUGUAGACAUAACUAAGUUUUAGUGUUUAUUUCCCUUAACCCUUUAACGGACAACUCACACGCCUUUGAAAAAGUCUUCUUCUUCACGCGACUUGUCCAUUUCGAACGUUGCCGCAAGUUUUGGAGCCACACGAGUAUCUCCUCAUUAACAAAUUCAAGCACGAAAAACUAAUACAAUGUUUACAAAAAAAAAACAAGGAUAUUGAUCCUAAUGCAUUUGUUAGAACGAUGAGGGGGCAUACAUACCAUAAAUAUUCAAAAAGGAGUUAGGCAACAGAGCCCCCGUAAGGGUAACUGGCGCCUGUGUGCAAAAAAGGAUUUUGGCGCCCCUUAAGGCAUUUUGGAUCAUGUUUUUCUAUUUAUUUUUUGAAGAUUUUUCCGUAAGGUGGGCCACCUUCAAACGAAAAUUUUUUUUUGGCGAUUUUCCCCUUUUUAUAGGCUUGAAAAUAGAUCGUUUUUUAUGUUAUAUAUAAUUUAAAGUUACUGAGUCCUUUAGGGCAUUCAAAAAUUGGGGAACACUUACAAAUUCCUCAAAAAAACCUAUUUUUGGGGUUUCAACAUGUUUCACCCAUUUUGGGGCUUGAACAUAUUUCUCUCAUUUUUGAAUGUCCUAAAGUACCCAGUUACUUCAAACUAUAUACCUAUAAAAAAACCUUGAUUUUGAAGUCUAUAAAAUCGGGAAAAUCGCUUGAAAAACCCAAUAAAAAAAAAACAGUUUCUCGGAUUUUUUAAGGUGGAGCUGAAAAAUUGCGUGAGAGGGAACGGGACAAGUGCCUGUCAUGCGUAAAACCAUAUAAAAUGCAAACAGAAAAAGCUUUGUAAAGCCACGGAUAAGUAAGUAAGUCUGUAGUUAACAAAAUUUUCAAAAAUAUAUAAUAAAAUAUU